rnacentral:lncRNA from 1 species
UUACAAAAUUAUUCAAAACUUAUUCUAUAAACAAUUCAUAUUACAACAGAAUCAGUGCUUCCAGACAAAAGACAUCUCAGAUGGAGACCAAAAGAAAUCGUGUUGCAGUGCUUCUUGAUGGGGGGGAAUGAGUUAUGACGAGAUCUCCUACAUUUUUGCCUUCUCCAAAUGUAUCAUUGCAUUAAUUAAAAAGGUGAAGAACGGUAUUAGAAUCUUGAGGUGAAGCAUGGAAGCCACAACGCUAAAAAAAACUCAAAAGUGGUGUGAAGACAACUUUUUGGAGGUAGUUAAUGUAGUUUCCGUUUUCACCAGCCAGACUACAGCUGUCUUGACUAUAGGAUCUGGGAGACCAUCGAGAGAAAGGCUUGUGCCACCUUCCAUGCAACUGUAGAUACCCUAAAGGCUGCCGUGAAAAAUAAGUUCCCUGACAUGUUGGAAGAAUACGUGAAGAGACUUGCAAGACCUUCAGGCCUAAGAUCGAUACCGUAGUAGAGGCCAAGUGUGGCCACUUUGUUAAUAUAUAAUCGUAUUUUCUUACUAUUUAUACUUCUUGAAAAUCUUAAUAAAGUUAAUCUUUGGAAAAUUCGUUCCCGAUUUGGAGAGACACACAA